UAGUGGCGCAGCUAACGCACUAAGUAGACCGCCUGGGGAGUACGGCCGCAAGGUUAAAACUCAAAUGAAUUGACGGGGGCCCGCACAAGCGGUGGAGCAUGUGGUUUAAUUCGACGCAACGCGAAGAACCUUACCUGGCCUUGACAUGCAGAGAACUUUCCAGAGAUGGAUUGGUGCCUUCGGGAACUCUGACACAGGUGCUGCAUGGCCGUCGUCAGCUCGUGUCGUGAGAUGUUGGGUUAAGUCCCGUAACGAGCGCAACCCCUAUCCCUAGUUGCUAGCAGUUCGGCUGAGGACUCUAGGGAGACUGCCGGUGACAAACCGGAGGAAGGUGGGGAUGACGUCAGGUCAUCAUGGCCCUUACGGCCAGGGCUACACACGUGCUACAAUGGUGCGUACAGAGGGCUGCAAACCCGCGAGGGGGAGCUAAUCUCACAAAACGCAUCGUAGUCCGGAUCGGAGUCUGCAACUCGACUCCGUGAAGUCGGAAUCGCUAGUAAUCGCGAAUCAGAAUGUCGCGGUGAAUACGUUCCCGGGCCUUGUACACACCGCCCGUCACACCAUGGGAGUGGAUUGCACCAGAAGUGGUUAGUCUAACCUUCGGGAGGA
rnacentral:rRNA from 1 species